GGGCUGGGGCUCAGUGGUAAAGCGCUCACCUAGCAUGCGUGAGGUCCUGGGUUCGAUCUUCAGCACCACA
rnacentral:tRNA from 1 species